GAUGAACGCUGGCGGCGUGCCUAAUACAUGCAAGUCGAGCGAACAGACGAGGAGCUUGCUCCUCUGACGUUAGCGGCGGACGGGUGAGUCACACGUGGAUAACCUACCUAUAAGACUGGGUUAACUUCGGGCAACCGGAGCUAAUACCGGAUAAUAUAUUGAACCGCAUGGUUCAAUAGUGAAAGACGGUUUUGCUGUCACUUAUAGAUGGAUCCGCGCCUCCUUAGCUAGUUCGUAAGGUAACGGCUUACCAAGGCGACAAAGCGUAGCCGACCUGAGAGGGUGAUCAGCUACACUGGAACUGAGACACGGUCCAGACCCCUACGGGUAGCAGCAGUAGGAAAGCUUCCGCAAUGGACGAAAGCCUGACGGAGCAACACCGCUUGAGUGAUGAAGGUCUUCGGAUCGUAAAACUCUGUUAUUAGGGAAUAACAAAGGUGUAAGUAACUAUGCACGACUUGACGGUACCUAAGCAGAAAGCCACGGCUAACUACGUG
rnacentral:rRNA from 1 species